GCCACGGCGGUUUAGCGGUUAGAACGCUGGUCUUGUAAUCCUGGGGUCUCGGGUUCGAUUCCCGGCGGUGCCC
rnacentral:tRNA from 1 species